UCGUCUUUCAGUUUCUAGAUACUCCACAGCUUAUAUGGACGUACAAUUCUACUGCACGCACGACCAUUGAGUGCAAGGUGGAUCACGUGCAAGCUAUAAGCAAUAUGAAGAUUUAUUUCCACAGGUCUUACAAGCUCAAAGGAAAUUGCCGCAGCAUUCAAAACUACUGAGUAUUUGGUUUAUAUGGCAACUGAUUUAAGCUGUGGAAUUAUUAGGGUCGAACCAAUUGGUGGCGCUUCAACAAAGCACUACGAGCUCAGAGUGAGAAAUUCUUCUAUCACACAACCUCGUUCUGACUGUAUUGCACAGUUCGCAUGGCGCAAACCCCGUGGACAUAUUCUUUAUUCACAGCACUGUCAAAAAAAGCAGACGCGCAAAUCG
rnacentral:lncRNA from 1 species